GACGAACGCUGGCGGCGUGCUUAACACAUGCAAGUCGAACGGAAAGGCCCUGCGCUUGUUGCUCUCUUGUUUGCCGAACGCGUGUGUGUCACGCGAGUAUCCUGCCCCUGAAUUUGGGAUAACUCCUGGAAACUGGGGCUCUUAUCGGAUAGGAGCUCUUGCUGCAUGUGGGUGGUUAGUAAGAUUCGGCGGUUGGGGAUGGAUUGGCGGCUUAUCAGCUUGUUUGUGGGGUAGUGGCUUACCAGGGCUUUGACGGGUAGCCGGCCUGAGAGGGUGACCGGCCACAUUGGGACUGAGGUAGGGCCCAGACUCCAACGGGAGGCAGCAGUGGGAAAUAUUGCGCAAUGGGCGGAAGCCAGAUGCAGCAACGCCGCGUGCGGGAUGCCGGCCUUCGGGUUAUAAACAGCUUUCGACUGUGACGAAGAGUGAGUGACGGUAAUGGGUAAAGAAGCACCGGCUAACUACGUG
rnacentral:rRNA from 1 species